rnacentral:snRNA from 1 species
AUAAUUUCUUCUUUAUUGCUAAUUACAAAAUCUCUGUUCUUAUCAGCUUAAUAUCUGAUAUGUUAGGCAAUGCCUAACUCAUAUAUUAAACUGAUUUUUGGACUUCGGCCAUGGGAUUGAAGCUUGCUUCGCCCUGGCCACGGGUUGUCUCGGUAUUGCACUCCUUCCGAGUACGGCCCCUUCCCC